rnacentral:ncRNA from 1 species
AGCAGGCCAGCGCGGGGUGCAAAGAAGGCCGUUACCAGGACGGCAGCGCUUUUUGCGUGGGCUCCUUCUUCCCGGGGCCUGUUUUUUU